rnacentral:lncRNA from 1 species
UGACUUUCAUUUUUAAGUCUUUUAAAAAAAUUUUUUCAAUCACAUGUAACAUUUUAUCUAUCCUUAUUGAUAACAGUGUCACACACAAAGAAAUAGCAUGGGUAGGGAGGAGGAGUAUUUUAUUAUAUAUUAGGAACAUUCUAGAAACUUAGGGUUAUAGAUUCACCUGUAACCUGUAUUCUGCAUCUGCUAGGGAUGGACCUCAUUUAAAAAAUUCUGCAUGGAGCACGUGUGUGGGGAUUUUAAAACAGAUACGUUAAGCCUUUGAUAGACCUGCAGGAGCGUCUGAAGGAUCACUCUUCUGUUUUUAAUAAGUCAUGAACACUGAUGUUUGCAUUUAUUGUGGAACGAAAGGUGAAGAAGGAGAAGCAGUACCUUCGCUAAGGAUUCUGUCUGCUUGCUGCUGCAGACCUGUGUGUUGAGGAAUUCUGCUGCUGCUUCUUGCUUGGGAGUUACCAACUCUGCAGUCAGGCUGCGUUGGGAGUCCGCCUGCCUUUUGUCUCGUCAUUGCCAACCAGCAGACCAAUCCCGGUCGGAACGGAACAGUACACCUCUGUCUAAUUACUAUGGAAGAUGUCAUGAGGAAGCUGCUGAACUAGCAAUUGGUUGUUUAACACCUUCUUAUGCAUCAGACAACAACUGCAAGAAGUGUGAAGUGUGUCCAAAUCCUGAUACAUAACAGUGACUCAGUAAAUGUGUGACCAGUCAAAGAAUGAAGGAAGGUUGAUUUCUCCCCACGCAAAAACUGAAAGGCUGCCUCCCCU